AACGAACGCUGGCGGCAGGCUUAACACAUGCAAGUCGAGCGCCCCGCAAGGGGAGCGGCAGACGGGUGAGUAACGCGUGGGAAUCUACCCAUCUCUACGGAAUAACGCAUGGAAACGUGUGCUAAUACCGUAUACGUCCUUCGGGAGAAAGAUUUAUCGGAGAUGGAUGAGCCCGCGUUGGAUUAGCUAGUUGGUGGGGUAAAGGCCUACCAAGGCGACGAUCCAUAGCUGGUCUGAGAGGAUGAUCAGCCACACUGGGACUGAGACACGGCCCAGACGCCUACGGGAGGCAGCAGUGGGGAAUAUUGGACAAUUGGCGCAAGCCUGAUCCAGCCAUGCCGCGUGAGUGAUGAAGGCCCUAGGGUUGUAAAGCUCUUUCACCGGUGAAGAUAAUGACGGCAACCGGAGAAGAAGCCCCGGCUAACUUCGUGCCAGCCGCCGCCGUAAAAC
rnacentral:rRNA from 1 species